GCCUUCGUGGUGUAUGGUCAGCAUGCUCAGCGCGUAACCUAGAGGUUCGUGGUUCGAUUCCUGGCGAAGGCG
rnacentral:tRNA from 1 species